rnacentral:rRNA from 1 species
UACGUAGGUGGCAAGCGUUGUCCGGAUUUACUGGGCGUAAAGAGCGCGCAGGCGGUCGUUCAAGUCGCGUGUGAAAGCCCCCGGCUCAACUGGGGAGGGUCACGCGAUACUGAUCGACUGGAAGGCAGGAGAGGGUAGUGGAAUUCCCGGUGUAGUGGUGAAAUGCGUAGAUAUCGGAGGAACACCUACUGGCGAAGGCAGCUCGCUGGGACGUUACUGACGCUGAGACGCGAAAGCGUGGGGAGCAAACAGG